rnacentral:rRNA from 1 species
GACGAACGCUGGCGGCGUGCUUAACACAUGCAAGUCGAGCGGAAAGGCUUCGGGGUACUCGAGCGGCGAACGGGUGAGUAACACGUGAGUAACCUGCCCUAGGCUUUGGGAUAACCCUCGGAAACGGGGGCUAAUACCGAAUAUNCAUGUUCCGCGGCAUCGUGGGUGUGGAAAGUUUUUCGGCCUGGGAUGGGCUCGCGGCCUAUCAGCUUGUUGGUGGGGUGAUGGCCUACCAAGGCGACGACGGGUAGCCGGCCUGAGAGGGCGACCGGCCACACUGGGACUGAGACACGGCCCAGACUCNUACGGGAGGCAGCAGUGGGGAAUAUUGCACAAUGGGCGGAAGCCUGAUGCAGCGACGCCGCGUGAGGGAUGAAGGCCUUCGGGUUGUAAACCUCUUUCGACAGGGACGAAGCGCAAGUGACGGUACCUGGAGAAGAAGCGCCGGCCAACUACGUGCCAGCAGCCGCGGUAAGACGUAGGGCGCGAGCGUUGUCCGGAAUUAUUGGGCGUAAAGAGCUCGUAGGCGGCUUGUUGCGUCAGCUGUGAAAACCCGCAGCUCAACUGUGGGCUUGCAGCU